rnacentral:rRNA from 1 species
UACGUAGGGGGCUAGCGUUGUCCGGAAUCAUUGGGCGUAAAGCGCGUGUAGGCGGUCCGGUAAGUCCGCUGUGAAAGUCGAGGGCUCAACCCUCGAAUGCCGGUGGAUACUGUCGGGCUUGAGUACGGGAGAGGCGAGUGGAAUUCCUGGUGUAGCGGUGAAAUGCGCAGAUAUCAGGAGGAACACCGGUGGCGAAGGCGGGACUCUGGGCCGAUACUGACGCUGAGGAGCGAAAGCGUGGGGAGCAAACAGG